GGAAAGUCGAAGGACACGUAUUGGUAAACCACCUCAGAUGAUAUUAGUUUUGCCACUGUGUACAAAUAGCAAACAGGUGUGACGUGCUUGCGGCGGCCGCACUCGCGCAUGGCUUGGAGGAUGGAGAAUCUUUAACACGUAUUUCAUAUGGUUGUAUGGAACGCCGUGGAGCUAUAAUGGCUGGGCUGUUGGAGAACCCAAUAAUGCUGCUGGGCAGGAGAACUGUGUAGAGACGUGGUAUAAUCUGGCAUUCAAUGAUGCACCAUGCACAAGACCCAAACCGUUCAUCUGUUCCUGUCCACUUUAGACAGCCAGAAGGUUAACCUAACCUGCUAUUCAGUAACUUUUAUGAAA